UUUUUAUAUUGCAGGUCUUGUUGCAGGUCUAGAAAUGUUUUGCAAUAAAAAUUUGAUUUCAAAAAAAUGAAAGGGAACAAAAACUUUUGCUUAUAAUUUACUCGGAGAAUGGCUGGAUUCAUUUGACCGUGUACAGUUUUGUUUAUAAUUAGUGAAGAGAUAAAAAUAAUGAAACUGUAUGGUGCAGAAAGUGUUUUUUUCAUUGCAGUUUCUGCUGCUGGGAAAGCGGUAGAUAACUAUGGCUUCUGUACCGUGAAAUGAAGCUUAUGAUAAAUAAAAUACUCCUGCUUGCUGGUCACUGAUUGAAGAUCGUUCAGUGACUACCAUUGGCCAAUCUCACCAACGGGAUAUAAUAAGAACUGAUGGAGGUUUAUAUCUAUUCGGAACAAAGUUAGUACAAUUUUUAAACCGAUGUUGGAUUUUUUUCCAGAUACAGGCAACCCACCUAACUUUGGAAGUAGUGCGCUGGAUUCGUCUAAAGAUAUGCUAAACAACCGGAGGAAAAUAAAAUGAUAUGUAAAACAA